GCACUUCGGGAUAAGCCUGGGAAACUGGGUCUAAUACCGGAUAUGACCACGAGAUGCAUGUCUUGUGGUGGAAAGAUUUAUCGGUGCGAGAUGGGCCCGCGGCCUAUCAGCUUGUUGGUGAGGUAACGGCUCACCAAGGCGACGACGGGUAGCCGACCUGAGAGGGUGACCGGCCACACUGGGACUGAGACACGGCCCAGACUCCUACGGGAGGCAGCAGUGGGGAAUAUUGCACAAUGGGCGAAAGCCUGAUGCAGCGACGCCGCGUGCGGGAUGACGGCCUUCGGGUUGUAAACCGCUUUUGACAGGGACGAAGCGCAAGUGACUGUACCUGUAGAAUAAGGACCGGCCAACUACGUGCCAGCAGCCGCGGUAAUACGUAGGGUCCGAGCGUUGUCCGGAAUUACUGGGCGUAAAGAGCUUGUAGGCGGUUCGUCGCGUCGUUUGUGAAAACUUGGGGCUCAACCUUAAGCUUGCAGGCGAUACGGGCGGACUAGAGUACUUCAGGGGAGACUGGAAUUCCUGGUGUAGCGGUGAAAUGCGCAGAUAUCAGGAGGAACACCGGUGGCGAAGGCGGGUCUCUGGGAAGUAACUGACGCUGAGAAGCGAAAGCAUGGGUAGCAAACAGGAUUAGAUACCCUGGUAGUCCAUGCCGUAAACGGUGGGUACUAGGUGUGGGGCUCCUUCCACGGACUCCGUGCCGUAGCUAACGCAUUAAGUACCCCGCCUGGGGAGUACGGCCGCAAGGCUAAAACUCAAAGAAAUUGACGGGGGCCCGCACAAGCGGCGGAGCAUGUGGAUUAAUUCGAUGCAACGCGAAGAACCUUACCUGGGUUUGACAUACACCGGAAACCUGCAGAGAUGUAGGCCCCCUUGUGGUCGGUGUACAGGUGGUGCAUGGCUGUCGUCAGCUCGUGUCGUGAGAUGUUGGGUUAAGUCCCGCAACGAGCGCAACCCUUAUCUUAUGUUGCCAGCGCGUAAUGGCGGGGACUCGUGAGAGACUGCCGGGGUCAACUCGGAGGAAGGUGGGGACGACGUCAAGUCAUCAUGCCCCUUAUGUCCAGGGCUUCACACAUGCUACAAUGGCCGGUACAGAGGGCUGCGAUACCGCGAGGUGGAGCGAAUCCCUUAAAGCCGGUCUCAGUUCGGAUCGGGGUCUGCAACUCGACCCCGUGAAGUUGGAGUCGCUAGUAAUCGCAGAUCAGCAACGCUGCGGUGAAUACGUUCCCGGGCCUUGUACACACCGCCCGUCACGUCAUGAAAGUCG
rnacentral:rRNA from 1 species